UAGAGUAAGGUUUCAAAUAAGAACUUCAUAAUUUUACAAGAAGGAAGCAAAAUUCAGCACCUUGAGACCUGGAAGCUGACACCCUUGCUCCUUUGUUUGAAGCCAAAUUUGCAUAUCUGAAAAACAACCUCAACAUAAGAGAAAUUCCUGGCCCAGGAGAACCUUCUAUCACCAAGCCUCCUGUGAAAUAUUAAACAUCAUAACAAGAAAGAAGCAUAAUUCAACAUCCGGUUUGCCAUCAGGCACCUUUGAGGUGUCUAAGUCCUUCUUGGAUCUGGAUCAGGAAGUUAUUUUUUCCAGCUCCUGAUCUUCCUCUCAAGAGGAUCCAGUUCAUCUCCAAAGCCACAGAAAUAGGUAGAUAAAAUGAAAGUGUCUCACUAG